UUGAGGAGCAUUGUAAAUAAUAAACCUUUGCCUCAUGUGUUAUUAUCAAGAUUGCCAUUACUUAUGUGUCAUCAUGAGAGCUCUUCUCAUAGCAUUUAGUGAAUAACCCUUGCUUGCCUAGACUAAUUACAUAUAUUGCCAUUGGACAUUUAAGUUUCAUGUUUAUGCAUAAUAUAAUUGGUGUUGAUGGAUUAUACAUAUAUCUCUUAUUUUUAUGCGAGUUUUAAAAAUGUAUUUAUUGCUUUCAUGCUUAUAUCUUCUCAUUCUUUCUUGGCUGUAUUUUUUUUUGCAACCUAACAAUAGUAGUCAACUGUAUUGUUAUCAUUAUCGCAUUGUAAACAAGUUUUUAUUUCAUAUAUUUUUUAUUGGAUGAUUUUCAUUCUACAAAAUAUAAUAUUGGUGUAUGA
rnacentral:lncRNA from 1 species